GACGAACGCUGGCGGCGUGCUUAACACAUGCAAGUCGAACGGAAAGGCCCUGCUUUUGUGGGGUGCUCGAGUGGCGAACGGGUGAGUAACACGUGAGUAACCUGCCCUUGACUUUGGGAUAACUUCAGGAAACUGGGGCUAAUACCGGAUAGGAGCUCCUGCUGCAUGGUGGGGGUUGGAAAGUUUCGGCGGUUGGGGAUGGACUCGCGGCUUAUCAGCUUGUUGGUGGGGUAGUGGCUUACCAAGGCUUUGACGGGUAGCCGGCCUGAGAGGGUGACCGGGCACAUGGGGACUGAGAGACGGCCCAGACGCCUACGGGAGGCAGCAGGGGGGAAUAUUGCACAAUGGGCGGAAGCCUGAUGCAGAAACGCCGCGUGCGGGAUGACGGCCUUCGGGGUGUAAACCGCUGUCGACUGUGACGAAGCGUGAGUGACGGUAAUGGGUAAAGAAGCAACGGCUAACUACGUG
rnacentral:rRNA from 1 species